rnacentral:lncRNA from 1 species
CUGGUAGGCUUCACUUGCAAGGUGCUAAAGGAGCACCACAAAGGCAUUUAUUAUGCUCAAACACAUUCUUGUUAAACUUCUUCAACCCAGCAGGAAUUGCACCACAGAGCUGGUUAAAGCUAACAUUAAACUGCGAAAGAGAUUGUAGGUUGCCGAGUGACGCCGGAAUAGUGCCGGAUAACUUGUUGUUAGACAAAUCAACCUCCUUUAGGCGCUUCAACUUGCCUAGAAAGGAGGGGAUUGGCCCACUAAGGCUGUUGGAACCAAGGUCUAGAUUUUGUAGUCUUUGGAGUUUGCUAAAAGAGUUAGGGAUUGGCCCAGUUACUUUCGGCAUUUCGGCCAAUGAGAGCAUGCUAAGAUAAGGGAGGUUGCCAAACUCCGCUGGAAGCGUACCGGAAAGACCCCAGCCACGGCUGAUGGUGACGACGGUGACUCGGCCAGGAUAAGGUCUGCCGCAACCGACGAAGCUCCAGUCACAACAUUCGGUGUUGUUGUCCCAGUCGUCGAGGCGGCCUUUGGGACCACCGAAAUGGUCUCUGAUUUUGAGGAGGGCGGCUUUGUCGUCGGCGUUGCAGAAGAAGUCAUCACUUGCGUUUGAUUUGGAGAAGUAGAUGGAAGAAAGGAAGAGAAGUGUUAAGUGGAGUAGGAGAAACAUGUUUGGAGAAGUCUUCAUCUUAAUUUUGGAGUUUUCCUUAAGUUUAAUAAAUAAGAAGAGGUGGUUUGAGUUUGGGUUGAGACUUGAGUGUGUACUCACGUUUGGGUGACAAGAAAGAUUUUCAGAGUGUACCUAUUUAUAGAAUUGGAAAAAGAUAGGUAAACACCCUUUUUCAUACACCUCUUAUAUACACCUUCAUGUGUUAUGGGUAUUUUAGUAAUUUUAUAUCAUAUCAUCAUCCUUUUUUAUCUCUUCUUUCAAUGUUUUUGCCACGUGUCACAAAUGUGUGUGGGUGUAAAAGGGUGUAUGCCAUCUAAGGUGGUUUAUGUAUAAGAGCUCGAAUUGGAAAAAGAUAGGUAAACACCCUUUUUCAUACACCUCUUAUAUACACCUUCAUGUGUUAUGGGUAUUUUAGUAAUUUUAUAUCAUAUCAUCAUCCUUUUUUAUCUCUUCUUUCAAUGUUUUUGCCACGUGUCACAAAUGUGUGUGGGUGUAAAAGGGUGUAUGCCAUCUAAGGUGGUUUAUGUAUAAGAGCUCGAAUUGGAAAAAGAUAGGUAAACACCCUUUUUCAUACACCUCUUAUAUACACCUUCAUGUGUUAUGGGUAUUUUAGUAAUUUUAUAUCAUAUCAUCAUCCUUUUUUAUCUCUUCUUUCAAUGUUUUUGCCACGUGUCACAAAUGUGUGUGGGUGUAAAAGGGUGUAUGCCAUCUAAGGUGGUUUAUGUAUAAGAGCUCGAAUUGGAAAAAGAUAGGUAAACACCCUUUUUCAUACACCUCUUAUAUACACCUUCAUGUGUUAUGGGUAUUUUAGUAAUUUUAUAUCAUAUCAUCAUCCUUUUUUAUCUCUUCUUUCAAUGUUUUUGCCACGUGUCACAAAUGUGUGUGGGUGUAAAAGGGUGUAUGCCAUCUAAGGUGGUUUAUGUAUAAGAGCUCUAUAGAAUUUGUAUCCGAAUGUAUAGUUGUUUUAGUAAAAGUGGCUAUAAUAUAUUUUUCGUUUUCAAAAAAAAAAAAAAGAAAAGGAAAAAAGGCAAUAAUAAUGAAUAUGAGUUAUGACCCUUUGAGAUAUCUAUGAUAUUAUUUUAGAAAAAGCAAUUAUAUUUACGCACCUUUUAUUUUUUAAAAAAUCUUGUAGUUGCUAUCAACUAAAUUUCCUUUCCCUCAAAAAAAAAAAAAAAAAUCAACUCAAUUUCGUUUAAUGGAAAAACAAUAAAGUCACGUGUUUCCCCUUAAAAACAAUAAAGUGAUUCAUAUACAACAACUCAAAGCACUCACGUCCACUUCACUGGCGGCGUUUACGGUAGGAGAGCGCAAUAGGUCCCCUACCGUAGAAGAUCAUAUAAAAGGGCUUUUUUUUUUUUUUUUUUUUUACAAUUAAAUCGACAUGUGUUUGUUGGUGGUUGGCACAAUAGAUACUAGUGUUGUAUUUUUUAUUUUUUUUUAGAAAUGAUGCAUCAUCCGGUCACUAUUAUAAGCAAAAAUCUACAUUUUAGAUUCAUUCAUUAAAUGAUGUAUGCGGUUUAUAAUACAGACUACAUACAUCAUUUAAUGAAUGUAUCUAAAACGUUGAUUUUUGCUUAUAAUAGUGGCCAGAUAGUGUAUUUGUACAACCACUUUAUGAUAACUUUUUGACAACCUUCUCUCUCAUACUCACGUUAUACUCUUAUUCUGACUCUUUCUUUUUCUCGCUCCAUUAUUUUUACUAAUGAAAAGAGAGAGAAAAGAAGUUGUUUGUCUCAAAUGGAUGUUCAAAUAUCACUAUUUUUUUUUAGGGAGUUACCUUCAUGUUAGUUGUAUUUAUGUAAUGAGAAAUAAUAUUUAAACAACUAUUUUUUGAUAAUUAUUGUGACAAUUUUCUCUUUCAUGUUUACAUUAAUUUUUUAUUUUCUCUCUCUCUCUCUCUCUAUUGUUUUUGUGUCAAUACCUCAUUUUCUUUAUAAAACUUUGGUUGUCUCAAAAGUUGUCAUAUAAAUGGAUGUUCAAAUAACACAACUCUUAAAUAAUUCUAGAGUCAAUUUUGUGAUUUCCUUCUUAAAUAAAAUAAUAUUUUUCCACCUAGAGUAUAUAGACAAUAUUUUCCAACUCGUUCAACAAUAAGACAUUAAUAUAAUGACUUUAUAUAAUGAGUGGUAGUUGAAAAUAUAUUAACGUUUUUACUGUAGAUUGAAUGUGAGUUUUUUUUUUUUUUACAUGAUUGAAUAUUAUUAGGUUUUUUAACAAUAUAUUAUAUUAGCAAUGACAGAGUAAUCUCCUUAGCACAAAAUGUAUAAAGGAAACCACAUAUAAUUACAAGCUGUCAAUUCAAGAAUACACAAAAAGGUUAAUCGAUAUCCAAGCACCUAAACGGGUUCAACCACGAGCCAUAAACAAAAUUGACCUUAUUAACUUUAAGCCACAAUAACAAUAAAUACUUUACUUUUUCUAAUAACUGUGGAAUUGUAUUUUCUAAAUUUGUAAACAAUACUUUUUCUAAUAACAAUAAGUAUACCAUUGUGUUCGUUCCACACAAUCCAAAUAUUAUUAGUUGAAUGGUUAAUAGAGAGGAAGGUUGAAUAAGUUUUUAGUCCCAACUCCCAAUAAAUAUACCGAAUAUUAUUUUUAGUCUUUAGAAGAAAAAAAUUGACAUGUUGGGUCAUAUAAUUUUUCCAACAAUGUCAAAAACACCCUUUAUUAAAUGUGAUUCCAAAAUCAAUUGAAUUUUUUAAAUCAUUCUAUAUGUUUAAAGAAUAGAAUUCUAGUGAAUCACAUUAUCUGAAAUCUCAGCUAUUCAAAAGCUUCAUCCUAUAUUCAAUGAUUGAUAUCUAUUUUAAAAAAAAAAAAAUCUCAUUUAAAAAAAAAAAAAAAAAAAAAAAACAAGUCUCCUACGGUAGGAGACCUAAGGAGGUCACCUACCGUAGCCUUGGUCCACUUCACCGUAUAUAACUCAAGUUAGGAUCAUUUUUUUGGUAGUUACAAUGUAAUCAGGCAAAAGAAAAGAAAAAAGUGAGAAGAGAUAAAAUUAAGUUCCAAAUUUAUCUCCUAGGAUAAGAGAUUUUAUGUCCUGAGAUGUAUAUGUUUUUCUUCUUUCCCUCUUCUUCUCUUCUCUCAAUGCCGCGUCUCGAACCGAAUUCCUCUAAGUUGUACGACAAACUUUACAACCUUGUGACAUCUUAGAAGAUAAACAGUUAAGAUUAUCUCUAUUUAAACUCUUAUUCAUUUAUAUUGUUUAAUGAGAUAAAAAUACAAUAAAAUUUAAAAAUAAUUAAUGAUGAUCAAUUCAACUUACAAUUCCAUCCAAAUGUGAUCUUUUAUUAUAUUGCAUAAAUUUUAAGAUUUUUUUCCCUUAAGUAGGGUUGCCAAAUUACAUAUCCACGUGCAUGUCUUAAAUAAUGAGUUGUGCUUUUCUGGUCCCUCAAUUGCUUAUCAUGAUGAAAAGUGUCCCUUACCUCCAUGCCGUAAAUGAUGAUUGUGCUUUUUUUUUUUUUUCCUUCAAAUAUGGUGUAACUCUUUAUAAUGAAAAAUGUCAUUCGAAAAUUAUCUACCAACGAUAUAUUUUUUUUUUUUAAAAGUUCUACCGAAGAACUUAAAACUAUUAAGAAUGUAUUUUGAAAAUUAUCUACGGAAUGAUUUUAGCAGUAUUUUUUUUUUCUUUUACUGAAAACACGUGAUUGUGAGCGUGGCCAGUUAAAAUAUAUUUUCUUGAAGACAUGUGAUCUUUUUCCUGCUCAAUUCCACGCAAUUUUCCACUCUUAAUUGUGAAAAGUGAAAGUACAAUUCUAAAAAUAUUAAUGUAUAGUGUCCUUUUCAAUGAUAGUGUUGAUAAGUGCAUCUCUUAUAAAGUUAUAUAAUACUCCCUCCGUCCCUAUAUAUAAGACCCUUUUGCCAAAAUCACGGGAAUUAAGAUAGUAGAUAUUUGUAUUAAAGUUGUUUGUAAUCACUAUUGUUUUUACAAUUUUAUCCUUUAGGAAAGAAGGUUAGUUAUGUUUUCAACAUGUUAUUUAUUGUUGAUUGAAGAAAAAGAUGUAUAAUAAAUAGGGGCAUGUAUGUAAAGAAAUAAUUAAUGUAGUUGGAAAUAACAAAGGGGUCUUAUAAAAAGGGAUAAAAAAAAUUCUCAAAAGAAUCUUAUAAUUAAGGACGGAGGGAGUACUACUUUUUCUUUUCCUUAACUUGAAAUGUGUUGUAAAUGCUUCCCCUCACUAUAGUGCUUUUCAGUUUCACACCGCACUGUUUAUCAAAUUUAACUUUCAUCAAAGUAUUCCUUCAAAGAUUUCCUUGUUUGCGUGGCGUCUGCUUCAUAAUAGAUUACCUACUAAAGACAAUUUGGUUCGCAAGAGUAGUCUACCUCCCACUGACAUAGCGUGUUUAGCUGGGUGUGGUACACCUGAAUCAGUUCAUCAUCUUUUUUUAGGAUGUGAGUUAUCUGACAGUGUGUGGUAGAAUGUCCGGAUAUGGCUUGGCAUAGAUUUUGUUGCUUCCAAUAAUAUUAGCUAGUCAUCACUUUGUUCAGUUUUCUUUUAUUGCGGGCAUGUCGAGAUCUGCGUUUAUCUUCUUCAAGGUUAUUUGGCUCGCUUAUGUUUGAGUUAUAUGGAAGGAGCGAAAUAAUAGAGUUUUUACCAAUACAGCUUCUAAUCCAUCAACUCUAAUUGAGCAGGUUAAAGUAAAUUCUUUUUUAUGGUUAAGAUCAAAACAUGUGACUUUUAUUUAUAUGAAUGGUGGAAACACCCUCUCUUGUGUAUGGGUGUCCACUUGUAAUCAUUUUUGUUUUGGUUCUUGGCGGUGCCUCUAAUUAUUUGGCAUCACAGAUUUUGUAAAUUGGUUUGGGGAUGUCAUAUUUGCACUCCUUAUGCAGGGUGAUCUGCCUGAUUUAUUCCAUCUCAUAUUUGCUUGUUAAAAAAAAACUUUCAUCACAAUCCAUUAAAUCUAAAUGGGUAAUAUUAUUUAGAAAAGGCAGCUUUUAAAUUUUAAAUGGUUGUUUUUGAAUUUCAAAUUAUAAUGCAAUAAUAAAAAAUUUAAAAUUGCAACUUCAAAUUCAAAUUAUAAAUAAAUGUUCGGGAGAAAUUCAAGUUAAAUCAUAUUCAAUAAUUUUAAAUUCAAAUAUGUUAGAUAAUUGAAAUAAUUUGAUUUAAAUCUAAGUGGUAUAAAUAGGAAAAAUAUAAAAUCAAAUCAAAUAAAUAUUUUAUCUUGGUAAAAAUUAAUAUAUAUGUUAUCUUGGUUAAUUUUAUAUAAGAAAAACCAACUUUAAAUUUAAAAUCAAAAUUUAAAAUUAAUUUAUAAUUUUCAAUUCUAUAUUAUUAGUUUUAACUUUUUUUUUUGUGUGGUGGCUGUGGUUUGUACCCCGAACCUUGCAUAUUUUUUUUAUGCAUUGUCCAUGCCAACUGAGCUAAGCUCACGAGGACAUUAUUAUUUGUUUUAACUAAAUACAUAUAAAAAUACUAAAUACAUAAAAAAAUUCAAAAUACAAUAAAAAAUAAAAUAUUUUUGAUCAAAUUUAUAUAAGUAUUGGUAAAGAUGAAUUUUAAUGUAAACCCGAUCUUGAAUUUUUUUCUUCUCAAUUUAAUAUGGAGAUGAAGAUUAUGUGUUUAUUUUAUGGUAAAAGAUAAGAUAACGAUGAUGAUGUAGAAUGGAGUUUUGGAUUUUAUUUUUCUGGAUUGAAGGGUUUAAGGAUAGAAAGAUACGAAGAUUAAGAUCAAGGUAUGAAUAUGGAUACCAAGAAUAAUUUAUUUUUGGAUUUGGACCCACCACACCAACAAUUAAUAGUCAGAUCAUCACCCUUUAAUAUAUUUAGAUACAAAAGGGUAACAAUGCAAAGAGUUUAAGUACAUAUAUGAAAUGAAAAAACUUUAAAUGACCAAUGUAUUAUAAAUCUAAAACAUAAAUGACUUUGGUGUUAUUUCACCUAAGUUUAAAUUAUAAGUGGAUGUAAGAUACAAAAUGAGUCAGAUAUCUGCUGAAGAUAAAUUAUAGGUCAAUGUGAUUAUAAUUCAUAUUACAAGUCAAUGCAGCAGUCACAUUGAAUCAAAUAUUUCAUUUGUUUCAAAAUGCAUGUCACAGUCAACCAGUUCACAUAUGUCAAUGAACAAGUGUGUAUUCAUUUUUGUAACUUAAUUUUAACCGUUGGAUAUUGUUUUGCCAUGUAUGACACAUCCAUGAAAAUAAAUGAGGUAAAUGGAGCAUACAUGAACUCAAUGCACAGUUGUAGUUUUCUGCGAGUUGAAAUCACUCCACUACUACAGAAAUCACAUUUCACAUCAGUGGAAAUUGACAUUUCACAUCGGGUCCCAGCCGAUGUGACUAAAGGUGAGGUUAAAUGUCUAGAACUUUUCACUUCGGGUACAUAUCCGAUGUGAUAGAUGCCUAUCCACAUCUGGUUAACUUACACCCGAUGUGAAUUUUGUAAAAUUAUCUACAAACUAGGGUUUUCACAUCAGGUCUAACCUAACCAUUGAUGAGAAAUACGUUUAAUUCAUAUCGGCGAUUUUCCCACCCGAUGUGAGAUCUAUCUCAAUUAAAAAAUAAAUAUGGUCUUUUCUUUUUUGGUUGUUAUGCCAAAUAGGCUAGAGUACAUAAGGAAUUUUUUAAGGCCACAUUAUUCAAUAAAAAAAAACAUACAAUAUAUAAUCAAUGAUCCUAUUUUGAUUGAUAUAUAUUCAAUAUCAAGACACAAAUCUUAAUAAAAGAUUUUAGUUCAUCGUACCACCAAAGCUUCAUACACACUAAGUUUACAUAUACAAAAUUAUCACUAUUAACAGUUCACAAAUUGUAAAUACUUAUUAAAUUUCUACCAUCAAUAUCCAAAUUGUGACGCGCGAUACCAAGUUAGUAUGCAUAAAGUAUAGGGUAUAGCCGCGGCAGUAAUGCAUGAGGGCCAACAUCCAAUAAUUCUGGCCUCUGCAAAAAUAUAUUCACAAGCUGAAAUAAAGUUAAAGUAUAUUACAACACAAGUUAACUAGUACUAGUAUUUUACAUCAUUUUUUAACACAAAUGACAUUUCAUAUAUUUAUGUAGCUACAGGAAUUAAAAGUAUGUAUUUGGGUAUUCAUCAAAUAUAAUUAAAAUGUCAACCUCGAAUCGAAGUAUGCAUUUGUAAUAGUAUGUAGCUAAGUACAAAGCUUGAGUUAGCAUAAAUUAAAUUAACUAAUGUAUUUGGACAUUUUUCUAAUAAACUUUCUAUGUUUCUUGACAGAAAAUCCAAAUUAAACUCCAUUACUCUUUGUUGAGUUUCACCCUUCAUGAUUGCGUAUUAUUUGUGCAGUUGCAAGAGUAGUUAAAUUUAGCUAGAGGACUUCCAAUAAAUUAAAUGAAUUCCACGAGGUAUUUGGAAGACCAAAUGUUGUCUUAAGGGAUUUGGUCAAAAUACACAAUGCAUGCAAUUGGUGGUUGGAGUUUAUAGUGAGUAACACAACACAAACAUAAGUGUAUUUCAUAGAAAUUUGUGAGCAACAAUUAAAUUGUGUUUUCUAAUUACUAGUGGUUCUUCUACAUAUGGUUUGCGAGAUUUUUCUUUUAAUAAUUCAGCAAGUAAUGAAAUUUUAGGUGAAGCUAGUUUUUUAUUUUAGGCGAGGGUUCAUGAGAUGGUGAGUGAUUCUACUUCAUGGCAGACCACACCAAAACUGCACCCAGAAACCACCAACAAAGGAAGAAAAUAUGCCAACACUUUUUUUACCAUCUUGAACAAUCUAAUCACAUGAAUAAACUAGGGGACUAGUGGUAAUGAUUAUACUUCACCCACAAAGAAGAAAAUAAGCCAACACUUUUUUCCGUUUUGAGAAGUCUAUCUCUCAUUAUCUCAUUAAUUAGCAUAUAUUUAAAUUGAAGAAACUGAUUUUUUAUUGAUGGUAGUAUAUGACAAAAACAAUAGGAUGCGCAUAAAGGACAAAAUGAACUGAACAUCAAAUAUCUCAACAUCAAACUAUUUGUUCUGCUAGCUAGACAAGAUAUAUAAUGUUAUCUUGUUGAGAAUCAAGUUAGUAAUUACCUCAAUUUUUUUGAGAUCAGCUUCUAGAGCUACCUUUUUGCUAUCUUCCCAAUCAGCAAUGGAAGAGAUGUGAUUGAGAAUUUAGUUUGUUCAAAAAACAAUUGAGAAUUUAGAUAAUAGUAAAAUACAAAGAUGUAUUUAAAAAAAAAAACAUCAAAACAACAAUGAAGAUUUGUAAAAAUAUUUAUUCCAUAUUUUUCCUAUAAGCAAUAAGCAACCCAAUGCCGGACAACACUACACGACCAAAACUAGACAGCACCAUAAAACCACCUACUGCCCAACCAAAUACACAAUGCAAAACACAACCUACCGUCUCAUGCAAAGCUACCAACCCAGCAUAUCCAUGUAUGUAUCCAAUGAAAAAAGUCAAUCAUCAACAAAAUGAAAACAUAUUUAACUAUUCUCAAGAAAGAUGGUCGACAUAGAUAAGGAAUGUGAUCAUACACUCAAACAAUAACGCAUAAGACUGACACCAUAUUAAUUACGAGUGCUAAUAAGGUACUAAACUAUAACCAUUUCUGAAUUAAAAUUAUUAACUUCCUCUUAAAUAAUUGUAUGACUAACACAAUUACCUCUUAAUAACAAAGUAAAAUCAUAAUGGAAAAUUCAAAGCCAGAAAAAUGCUUAUUUCGUCUUUCAAAUGAACAUAAGGAAGUAUGUGAUACUUAAAACAAUAGACCAACCAUCCCAAGUAUGAUACUUUUCAAAUUUAUUUUCACAUUACCAGAGAUUGGGACAAAAGGUACGUACAAACCCAUUGCACUUGCUGGAUGGACUAGAACCCGGACCACUACACCAAAUCACAAAACUGAAGGAAGAAUAAACACCCAACAUCAUGCUGCUAACACAGUAACAAACCAGCCCACAAAAAGAAGCAGAAAGCAGACCCUAAUACCCCCACCCCCAACAAAACAAAGCCGCUGCAAAAAAAUCAGGGAACCAAACAGAACCCCUGCUGCCCCUCAAAAACCAGUUCACACCUCACUAGGUGAGAAGCCAUUUGUGAAGGCAACAAGACACAAUAAAAAACCAAAUAUAAUAACAGAAUCAAAAUCAAAAGUUAAGUUCAGAGUGCAUCAGUCAAAACAGAAUGUAUACUCUCAUUUAAAAAAAGUAAUUGCAACGAAAGUAAACCACUACACAUACUACAUAUUAUUAUCGACUUCAAAACAAAGAUUAACCAUAUAACUACAUUAAGAUAGGACAUAUCAAUCAACAUCAACAAUCACCGCCAAUUGAGGUUCAUGAACUAGCCCAACAUCAACAAUAAUCACUAAGUGAUGUUCCCUAAAAAUUUCAAAUUUAAAUUUCAGCGCAUAACAAAAAUCGCUACCUCAAAAAUCACUACAAAUUCAUUAGGUAACAAGUAAACGAAAGUCAAGCAAUCAGAAACCAAACAAAAAACAAAAACCUCAGCACGGUGAGAACUUACGAGCUUACGGCGACAAGAACAAUAGCAAGCGAGGACGACAAUUUCCAAUAGAGAACACCAAUUCUGAUAUCUUCAAAGCUAUGGGUUCACGAAUCGGGGAUGUUCGUGAAUCACCACUUCCAACUGAGAACGAAAAUAUCCAACUGAGAACGAAUCGGAGUGUUAAUAGUAUUCGUGAAUGAGAGCUUAGUGUCAAAACAAAUUGGGACCAAAACGAGUUCAAAUGGUUCGAGAACUUACGGUGAAUGUCGAAUUUCGGAAUCAUGGUGGCCAAUCCAUUUAGAAAUCGAGAAGUAUAGUGAAUGAGAAUGAUUUGGGUUCGAGAACAGAUUGAAUUAGGAUUCGAGAUUGAAGAGUUAGGGUUCAAGAUUGAGUUUAAACAAUUUCGAAACUGGUUGAUUUAGUGAGUGAGAUUUAGGGUUUGUGUGAAGAGGGAAAGAGAAGAAACGCUAUCUGGAGAAAAAGAAGAAAUGUGAUCUGAAGAAAGAGAAAAGGGAAAGUUAAAUUAAAAGUGUGAUAGAUUUCCCCUCAUGUAUUAUAUCUGCUGAUGUCAAAAUUCAUUAAUAAUUAUUUUCCCUUUCAGGUAUUUCUCAACUGAUGAGAAAACCCUUGUCAGAGUUCACUUUAAUUGCAAAAAUGCCACCGUGUUGCUUUUGCCAUCAAGUAAUUGGUCCACUGAUGUGAAAUCUCUGAUGUUAAAUGUCUUUUUUUUUUUCUCUAGUAAUGCUCUUUGCUCUUUUUCCAAGCUUGAUCGUUGGAAAAAGCUCACUUUUCAUCUCUUAGACUCUAAGUAAUCAUAUGUUAUAAAUUGAGAUCCUUUCACAUUUUUUUAUUCAUUCAGAAAUCUAACGGUUCAAGGCAAGGGUCAAGCAUUAGAGUCCAAGACAAAUGAUCUCCAUCUUCCUAUUGUUCUCUCUGGGUUUGGGAAUAGAUUUGGAGAUAAGGUUCAUGGUGAAUUGAUUUUGGGAUUUGGCGUUUUUUUUAAUUUGAAUUGAUUUUGAGAUCUAUGACUUUGAGUGUUUUUUUGUGAUAUUUUAUAUUCAUUCAUGUGUUUAUUUUUUUUAUUUUUUUGUAAAAAUAAAUGAGUUUCUAGUUAAACGGUUAAAACCGGUUUUUUAAUUAAGUUUGGUUAGCUGAACUGUUUUAUUUUUACGUUCAGGUCAUAAACCAUUUAAUAUAGUUUGAUUGUUUUAUAGUUCAGUGCAGUUCAGUUUGGAUAUAUAUGGUUCAGUUAACCAUAUUUUUUCACACUCCUAGUUUGAAUUAUCAUAUCAAUAUAUAUAAUGGUGUAAAUUGUACCCAGUUUGAAUUAUCAUCAAUGUCAAUUGACACUGUUUCUAUGCUGUUAUGUUUGUGUGUCUGCAAAAUGUUAUGUUAUGCCAAGAUUAUUUGGAGUUAAAAGUGUUAUGAUUACCUUUCAUGGUGUCAUCAACUUGUCAGAUUUUUAUUGCGUGGCCUUUUCAUUUUAAACUUUUUUAGGAAUUGUAUAGGAUACCUUGUAUGCAAGUAUUGAAAUGUUGAAGGUUUAAUCUAUAUGUUCGUGAGUUUGUUCUCCUUUGUCCUUGAUUACGUUGAUUCUAUCUGAUAUCUAAUUAUGGAUUCAUAAUUGUAUACUUACCUAUGCUUUUUUGUUGUUUUAGGGGUUUUGAAAUUUUCUAUAGUUCCCUUUUGCUUCGUUUGUGCUCGUACUUCAUAAUUCGCAUAAAUUUAGGAAAUUUGUAGAAUAUGCUUAUUGAAAACAAGGGAAAUGGAAAUGACUUAGAUUCAAUGUGUGAGGUUCUCUUAUUCUUCUUCCUUGCAAGGUAUGAUUGUGUUGCAUAUGAGGUGUUUGAUAAUUUGACUCAAUGAAAUUUAUCAAUGUAUUGCCACUGCCACGUGAGUUUCUCCUUAGGAUAAUUGAUUUCAAUUUGUGUACAGUGAUCUUUAUAUUAUAUCAAAAUUAAUAUUAAUAAGAAUUUGAGAAUGAAUCAAUUGUUUGUGUUCUAUUGAUUGAUCUACCUAGUCUUCACUAUUCUUAGUAACAUUUAUGCAACAUAAUUUGUUGCAAAUCCAACCAAAAUUGUUAGCUAUAGAUUGGCUACAAAUUAGCUUCCAAUUAGUAACAUUUAAGUAACAGAAUUUGCUGCAAUUGCAACUAAAACUGUUAUCUAUAGAUUAGCUACAAAUUUGAUACAAAUUAGCUACCAAAUGAGUAACAAAUAUUAAGUGUCGGAAGAAAUACUCUCAAGUGUUACUGAAAUCAUUUAGUAACACGGGCUUUACCUAACAUUCAUCAAAUGUUACAAGAUCUAAAUAGUAACAUUUGUUUUUGAUUUAGUUACAAUUUAGAAGUGUUACUAAAUCUCAUUUAUGUUGAAGUAAAUUUAUCGUUGCUUCUUUCCACGUAAAAUGGGUGGGACAAUAGAUAAUUUAAUGCUCCUUAAACAAUCCGGAAAACAUUCGAUAACAUUUGAUAAAAAGUUUAAAGUGAAUUUUUUUUUGUUUAUAUUUGUUCAUUCAACACAUUUCAACAUUAAAAAACAACUUAUUAUCAUGAAAGUUAUCAAUUAUUUCCAUUUUUAAAUAUUUAACAAAUUACAUAAAGAAUAGUUAGCAAGACCCUAUGUUAAUUUCCAAUACAUUUUCACUUUUUGUUAACACAUUUUCGAGUUGCUUCUUUCCAAGUAAAAUGGAUGGGACCAUGACUAAUUUAAUGCUUCUUAAACAGUUUCAUGGAACACUUGAUAACAUUCUUCAAUGCUAUUACGACAUUUGAAAAAAGGUUUAGAGUGAAAAUUUUAUCUUCAGAUUUGUGUAUUUAAGACAUUGAAACAUCAAAAAACAAUUUUCUCUACAUAAAAGUUCUCAAUUAUUUUUAUUUUUAAAUCCUCAACAAAUGUUCUUAAAACAAUUGUAAGCUAGACUGUAUGUUAAUUUACAAAGUUUGAUCACACGUUUUCUAUUUAUAUCAACACUCUUUAUUGUUGAUUCUUUACGAGUAAAAAUGGGUGAGACGAUUGCUAGCUAAUUUAAUGCUCUUUAAACAGUGUCCUCAUGACAUUGGAUAUCAUUUCUUAGUGCCCUUGAUAACAAUUUUUAAAUGAAAAUUUUAUCUUGAGAUUUAUGUAUUCAACGAGUUAAGAUCUUCUCCAUCAUUUCUAUUUGGAGAGAUAAAAACACUUAAAAAAUAAAAAAAAUAAUUAAUGAGAGUGUGACACACUCAAUGGUGUAAAGAUCCUCUCCAUUUAUAAAAAUAAAUGGAAGAUGCAAUUUAGAGAGAGAUAGAGACAUAAGAUAGAUAGUGAGUCCUACCAUUAAGUGGGUGCCACCAUCUUUAAUUACUUUUUAUUUUUGGGUCUUGUUAACAAGUGAUAAUUACAAGUCACAAAAAGAAAGUUUCCACAAAAAGAAAGUUUGUUUUGAAAAUACAAGUCAAACAAAUAUAAAAGUGAUAAUUACACAAUUUCUAAGGUAAAAACUUCUAAUUUUAGAUGCUUAAACAAUGCCCUAAGGGUAUUUGUUAACAUUUUUCUUUAUUUUUUUGUAUCUUUAUCUUUUCAAAUGAUAGAAAUGGAGAUGAUGAUAAAUGAAGAGGAUCUUAACUCUAAUCAAAGGUAAGAUCCACAACCUUUUUAUGUGUAUAUCUCUUAAUGAAUGAAUAUUCAACACAUUGAAAUAUAAAAAAGUAGCCUAUUUUGGUUAGUAGCUGUACUUAAAUUCAAAAAUAUUCUCUGAUCAUUUCUUUGCUUUCGUAUAUUUUAAAAGAAUCGCAAGAUUAAACAUAAAACAAACGAGUUAAAACAUAGUGAUUCAUUAUGACUUUGUGAUAUGCAUGACACGAAUACUUUAUGAAGUAUUGCAUAUUCAUUCACGGAUAAUUUAAAACAUAAUACAAUAACAAAUAUUACACACUUAAAACAAUACUUAAUUUUAGAUAAGUAGAAAAACUGUUGUCGUUAGCUAUUACAAACCAUUAUUAAACGAUGUAGAUCUUUAAACAGUAUUUCCAAAUUUAUUAUACCAUUUUCAUUCGGCGUGAACUCGUUUCAAUCCAAAAUUUACUAUACAAGUUUUGCUACUAUUUACCAUGUAUUUAAUCUUAGAUAUAAAAAUGUGGCUAAAAUUAUUAUUUGGGGAAAUUUAGAAAAUUUGAAAAAAAAAAACAUCAUUAUUAUGUCAUAUAGAUAUUGAUUUAAGAAUUAUAUUUUUAUUACUGAUGCAUGCAGUGCAGUAUUCUUUGUGUAUGAAUACCGAACAUAUAACAUUAUUUUAAGGAAAUAAAAUGGUCACAUAAUGACUCAUUUAUACUUCUUUGAUUUACUUGGUGCUAGCUAGGCCUCCCUUGCAAGGUGCUAAAGGAGCAUCACAAAGGCAUUUAUUAUGCUCAAACGAACUCUUUGCAAACUUGCUCAACCCAGUAGGGAUCGCACCACAGAGCUGGUUAAAGCUAACAUUGAACUGCGAAAGAGACUGUAGGUUGUCGAGCGACGCCGGAAUAGCACCGGAUAACUUGUUGUUGGACAAAUCAACCUCUUGGAGGCGCUUCAACUUGCCCAGAAAUUCAGGGAUUGGCCCACUAAGGCUGUUGGAGCCAAGGUCGAGAUUUUCUAGUCUUUUGAGUUUGCUGAAAGAGUUAGGGAUUGGCCCAGUUACUUUCGGCAUUUCGGCCAAUGAGAGCAUGCUAAGAUAAGGGAGGUCGCCAAACUCCGCUGGAAGUGUACCGGAAAGACCCCAGCCACGGCCGAUGGUGACGCCGGUGACUCGGCCAGGAUAAGGUCUGCCGCAACCUACGAAGUUCCAGUCACAACAUUCAGUGUUGUUGUCCCAGUCGUCAAGACGGCCGUUAGGGCCGCCAAAAUGGUCUCUGAUUUUGAGGAGGGCGGCUUUGUCGUCGGCGUUGCAGAAGAAGUCAUCACUUGCGUUUGAUUUGGAGAAGUAGAUGGAAGAAAGGAAGAAGAGUGUUAGGCUGAGUAGCAUAAACAUGUUUGGAGGAGUCUUCAUCUUAUAUUUGAACAAAUAAGAAGAGAUGGUUUGAGCUUGGGUUGAGAUGACAAGUAUGAUUUUCAGACAAGCUAUUUAUAGAAAAUUGAAUGUACACUAAAACAAUAAUUAAUUUAGGAUAUGGAUUUAUUUCGGAUCAGUUCAAUCCACAUGGGUCAUAUAUUUUUAGGGUAAGGAUCAUAUCUUUACCGUUUCUUUAAACUUCAUGGAAAAUGUGUGAAAUAUAGAUAAAAAUAAAUAAUAAGUAGUUGGGUCUUACCAUUAAAUAGAUUCCACCACUAUUAAUUAUUUAUAUUUUUUUUUAAGCUUCAUUAUAUUUUUAUCUUUUCGAAUAGAAAAAUUGAGAUGAUACUAAAUUAAAAGAAUUUUAACUCGUAUUUUUAAUGAUUCUUCUAUCGAAUGUAUUCGAAUACUCUUUGAAAAGAAAUAAAUUAGAGAAAUACUAACAAAUGCCCAUAAGAUACUUGUUAGCCUAUUAUUUAAUAAAGCAUUAGAUAGAAGAACCCUUAAAAAUACUAGUUAGAAUUCUUUUUAUUUUACUUUAUACAACUAGAAAUUUUACAUGAUUGUUUAAGGGUUCCACCAAUUUUACUUUAUACAACUAGUUGUUUAAGUUUGAGAAUUAAUAAAUGGAAUGGUAUUUGUACAAUCAAUUCUAAACAAUUUUUGUGACAACUAUUUUUUCUCUCUUCUUAUUGAAUAAAAAUAAUAGAGAGAGAAUUGUUCCAAAAAUUGUCAAAAAGUGGUUGUACAAAUAUCAUUCCUCAAUUAAAAAAUCAAAGAUUCCUACCAUAUUAUAUAAUAAAGCCGCCCAUUCUUGUCGUUUCUGAUUAUAAAGCAAAUGAUGUAAUAAGCAAAUGAUAUAAAGGAGGAAGCUAUGUUAAUUGGAAAUGUAUCUAGAGUACGUCCCUCCUAUAAUUAAUUAUAAUAAGUAAAAAUUCAUUUUUUAAUUUGUUAUCGUCUAUAUAAUUGAUCAUAUAUACAAUUGAUUGAACGAACCUAAAAAUAUAUUUUUGCUUAUAAUAGUAAUUGAAUAGAGUACUUAAUAAAAACUUUAAAAUGGAAAUUUAACCUAAAAGUUUGUGUAUGAAACAUAUUAAAACAUUAAAGAGUAAGCUUUUCUACAUUAGAAUUAUCGAUCGUUUCUAUUUUUGAAUUCUUAACAAAUAUCCUAAGAGCAUUUGUUAAAAAAAUUUAUUUUAAUUUAAUCACACAUUUUCAAUUUUUAGUGUUGCUUCUUUUCAUGUAAAACUGGUGGUACCAUGGCUAAUUUAGUGUUCCUUAAACAAUCAAGAAGGCAUUAGAUAGUAAUUUCUAGUGUUCUUAAGACAUUUGAUAAAAAGUUUAAAAUAGAAAUCUUAUCUUUAAAUUUAUGUAUUCAACAUAUUUAAACAUAAAAUAUAUUUUUUUUUUUUUAACAUAAAACGCUAUAGUUAAUAAAAUCCUAUGUUGAUUUACAAAACGUUUUCAAUUUUAAUUAACACGCUUUAGUGUUGCUUCUUUCCAAAGUAAAAUGAAUAGGACCAUGAUUAAUUUCAUACGCUUUUAGGACACCAGAUAACAUUUUCUAAUGUCAUUAAGCACUUGAUAAGAAGUUUAAACUAAAAAUUAUACAUUGAAAUUUGUGUAUUCUAAACAUUGAAACAUCAAACAAAAAAGUUUUCUACACAAAAGUAAUCAAUUAUUCUAUUUUUAAAUAUUUUACCAAUGCUCUUAUGAAAUUAUACCCUAUGUUAAUUUUCAAAUUAUGAUCACAUGUUUUCCAUAUUUUUCUUAACACUCUUAAUUGUUAAUUCUUACCAAUUAAAAUGGGUGGGACCAGAGACAAUUCUUAGCAUAUUAUUUAAUAAAACAUUUGAUAGAAGAACCCCGAAAAACACUAGUUAGAAUUCUUUUUAUUUUACUUUAUACAACAAGAAAUUUUACAUGAUUGUUUAAGGGUUCCACCAAUUUUACUUUAUACAAUUAGUUGUCUAAGUUUGAGAAUUAAAAAAUCAAAGAUUCCUACCAUAUUAUUUAAUAAAGCCGCCCAUUCUUGUCGUUUCUGAUUAUAAAACAAAUGAUGUAAUAAGCAAAUUAUUAUUAAGGAGGAAGCUAUGUUAAUUGGAAAUGUAUUUAGAGUGCAUCCCUUCUAUCAUUAAUUAUAAUAAGUAAAAAUUCAAUUUUUAAAUUUAUUAUUGUCUAUAUAAUUGAUCAUAUACAUAAUUGAUUGAACGAAUCUAAAAAUAAAUUUUUGUUUAUAACAGUGAUUGGAUGGAGUAUUUACUAAAAAAUUUAAAAUGGAAAUUUAACCUUAAAAUUUGUGUAUGAAACAUAUUAAAACAUUAAAGAGUAAGCUUUUCUACGUUAGAAUUACCGAUCGUUUCUAUUUUUAAAUUCUUAACAAAUAUCUAAAGAGCACUUGUUAAAGAACUUUAUGUUGAUUUAAUCACACAUUUUCAAUUUUUAGUGUUGCUUCUUUUCAUGUAAAACUGGUGGGACCAUAGCUAAUUUAGUGUUCCUUAAACAAUCAAGAAAGCAUUAGAUAGUAAUUUCUAGUGUUCUUAAGAUAUUUGAUAAAAAGUUUAAAAUAAAAAUCUUAUCUUUAAAUUUGUGUAUUCAAAACACUUAAACAUAAAAUAUAUAUAUAUAUUUUUUACACAAAACGCUAUAGUUAAUAAAACACUGUUGAUUUACAAAACGUUUUCAAUUUUAAUUAACACGCUUUAGUGUUGCUUUUUUCCAAAGUAAAAUGAAUAGGAACAUGACUAAUUUCAUGCGCUUAGGGCAUCAGAUAACAGUUUCUAAUGUCAUUAAGCAUUUGAUAAGAAGUUUAAACUAAAAAUUGAGAUUUGUGUAUUCUAAACAUUGAAACAUUAAACAAAAAAAAUUUCUACACAAAAGUAAUCAAUUAUUUCUAUUUUUAAAUAUUUAACCAAUGCUCUUAUGACAUUUUUAAGCUAUACCCUAUGUUAAUUUUCAAAUUAUGAUCACAUGUUUUCCAUUUUUCUUAACACUCUUAAUUGUUAAUUCUUACCAAGUAAAAUGGGUGGGACCAUGGUGCCUUGUGUAAUAUCACGUUCAAUAAUAUUUUUAAGACCCUUGUGUUAUCCGAAAUGAUCUGUCAACGUACGUGGGAUGCUAUCUCACUAGAUUGGUGAUAACAAUGAUAAUUAAAACAAAAUUAGAGAUUGCAUAAUAAGAAUAAUAGUAAUUGAAAUCAAUAAACUUAGUCCAAAAUUUCAAACGCAAUGAAUCACGAGUACUUGACGAAUACAAUGAAUAAUUCUUGAAUGAAAACUUCAAAAUCAUAAUUUUAAACUAACUUAAAUUGCUUAGCAAUUUAAUUAGGGCUUAAAGAUAAUAAAAGAGUACUAGAAAAUUGGAUGCUCCUAAACUAAGUACAAGUGGGAAAUUAUAGGGAAGAACAAUAAAAACAAAAAUAGAAACUCAUUAAACCUAUUAAAAUCAUCACUACGUCAAAUACAUAGCUACUCAAUUAAGUAGCAAAAUGAAUUGAAGUCUAUUCGAUUGAGUAAAUCUGAUCUCUUAAGAUUUUCAAGUCUUGGAUAGCUGCUCGAUCGAGUAUAGUAUAAAAAAUUACUUUUACUCGAUCGAAUAGCCUUUGAAAAUGGAAUACCCCGUAUAUCAGAGUCUCCUAGUCUGCUAUAAAGGAACUAUCUUUCCCUCGGAUUAUGUCCUAAAAGACGCAUAAAAACAAUAAAGCAAACAAACAAUACAAAAACAAAGAAAACAACACAAAAGCACUCUAAAAAUAAGACAAAAUAAGGAAGGUGUAUUAGAUUAGGAUUUUAAAGAACAAUUUUUGUUUAAAAAAGUCUUGAGGAUUUUAAAAGACUUUGCAAGAUUUUGAUGACUUUGAUGAUUUUAAAAGACUAUUAAGGAUUUCAAUGGAUUUAAUUCAUAAGAUUUUAAAGGAUUUGAAAUGAUUUUAUGGAUUUCAAGGGAUUUCAUCAGAUUUUAUGAAUUUUAAGAAAUAAUUGAAAAAAAAUAUCAUAACACACUUUUUUUCACAAAAUCUCAAUAAAGACUCUUUUAUUUAUUUUAUUUUAUUUUUUACGGGAGAGCUAGAGCUAGAGAGAGAGAGAGUGAAGGAAUCAGAGAGAGAGAGAGAGGUUUUUUACGGGAGAGCUAGAGAGAGAGAGAGAGAGAGAGAGAGAGAGAGAGAGAGAGAGAGAAGGAAGGGGAGAGAGAGAGAGAGGAGAGGAAAAGAGAGAAGGGAGGAGAGAGAGGGAGAGAUAGUAUUAUCUUAAAAGAAAAAACAAUCCUAAGAAAUCUCAUGUUUUCAUGAAAGAUUUUUUCAUGCUAAAAUUUCACUAGAAAAUCCCACAAAAUCCAUCAAAAUCUGAUUUAUUAAACAAUCCUUCGAAAUUUGAAUGAUUUUGAAUACCACUAGACUUUUUUUAAGUGAUUAAGAGUCUUGAUUGAAUACCACAAGACUUUUUUUAAAUCUGAUCUCUUAAGAUUUUCAAGUCUUGGAUAGCUGCUCGAUCGAGUAUAGUAUAAAAAAUUAAUUUUACUCGAUCGAAUAGCCUUUGAAAAUGGAAUACCCCGCAUAUCAGAGUCUCCUAGUCUGCUAUAAAGGAACUAUCUUUCCCUCGGAUUAUGUCCUAAAAGACGCAUAAAAACAAUAAAGCAAACAAACAAUACAAAAACAAAGAAAACAACACAAAAGCACUCUAAAAAUAAGACAAAAUAAGGAAGGUGUAUUGGAUUAGGAUUUUAAAGAACAAUUUUUGUUUAAAAAAGUCUUGAGGAUUUUAAAAGACUUUGCAAGAUUUUGAUGACUUUGAUGAUUUUAAAAGACUAUUAAUGAUUUCAAUGGAUUUAAUUCAUAAGAUUUUAAAGGAUUUGAAAUGAUUUUAUGGAUUUCAAGGGAUUUCAUCAGAUUUUAUGAAUUUUAAGAAAUAAUUGAAAAAAAUAUCAUAAUACACUCUUUUUCACAAAAUCUCAAUAAAAACUCUUUUAUUUAUUUUAUUUUAUUUUUUACGGGAGAGCUAGAGCUAGAGCUAGAGAGAGAGUGAAGGAAUCAGAGAGAGAGAGAGAGGUUUUUUUACGGGAGAGCUAGAGAGAGAGAGAGAGAGAGAGGAGAGGAAAAGAGAGAGUAAGAGAGAAGGGAGGAGAGAGAGGGAGAGAUAUUAAAAUCUUAAAAGAAAAAAACAAUCCUAAGAAAUCUCAUGUUUUCAUGAAAGACUUUUUCAUGCUAAAAUUUCACUAGAAAAUCCCACAAAAUCCAUCAAAAUCUGAUUUAUUAAACAAUCAUUCGAAAUUUGAAUGAUUUUGAAUACCACUAGAUUUUUUUUAAGUGAUUAAGAGUCUUGAUUGAAUACCACAAGACUUUUUUUAAAUGACAAAUAAUAUUGAUUGAAUAACACAAGACUUUUUUUAAAUUGGAAAGAGUCUUUGAUUGAAUACCACAAGAAUUUUUCAUGAUAAAAAAGUCUUUUAAAAUCUUUUACAAUCAUGAUCCAAUACAACCCAAGGUUAGAGUAAAACAAAAACCAAAAGCAACCUAAAGUUCAUAUAAAUUUCUUUGUAGUAAAUGAUCACACGAUUUAUUUUGAGUGUCUCCUUAUCCAAACACUCCUUUUGUCCUUGAACAACGGUCUUUUUAUCAUUUUGUAUAAAUUUUAAGAUUUUUCACAUAAAGAUAACAAUACAUGACAAGUUAGGAAAUAUGCAAAUUGUGUUUCAUAUAAUUAGGAAAUAUAGCAUAUUCUUUAGCACAUUGUGAUUCCCGCGAUCUUUAUACAGCGGUGGAUCCCUAAGGGUGGUGGAAGGGGCGAUAAUCAAGGGCACCAUUCGCUAGAAGGAUCAAAAUUAUUAUUUCUAAUGAUUAUAUGCUUGAAACUUUGAUUAUAAAUGAAUCUUUUGUAAAAUAAAAUAUAAGAAAAAUAACAUUUAAAAAAUUAAACGGACACAAUUAUAUUGAUUUGCUUGGAGCAUUAAACAUUUUAAGACCGACAGUCUAUAUAUAAUUAGGUUGCACAUGUCCAUAAAUGUUGAGUUUGAAAAGUUGUUUUCUAUCCCGUCAAUCACUCUUUAUGUUGAAAAAUAUCAUUUAAAAAUUAUCUAUUCAAAGAGUUUUUUUUUGUGGUGGUCGGGGUUUGAACUCAAAACUUUACAUAUAUUAUAUAUUGUCCAUAUCAACUGAGUUAGGUUCACGAGGAAUCUGUCCAAAUUAUUAUAUCUAAUAACAAUGUCUUUUGAGAAACGAUUUUGGCAAUUUAUAGAGACAAAAAAGCACAUAUCUUUAAUGAUCGCCUGAACAUAUUAUAUUGGAGGUGGCCAAUUAUAAGAUAUUGUUGAAGACAUUAGAUUCUUUUCCUGCUCAAUUCCCACUCAUAAUUCCACUGUAAUUGUCAAAAGUUAAAGCACAUCUCUUAAAUAUUAAUUCUACGUGCUCAAUUUAAAUAUUAAUUCUACGUGCUCAAUUCUACUGUAAUUGUCAAAAGUGAAAUAAAGUAAAAGAAUGGUGGUAUCCAUGAACUAUCUUAACCCAAUCUAUAAAUUGCUUAUUUUUAUUGGUUAGUGGAUAAAUUACCCACCAUUUUUCAAAGGUAAUCAAGAAAAAACUUAUUUUAUUUGUCUCAAAUUAUACGUCUGCUUUGAGAACAAAAUUUAUCCCAAAUUAUAUGUCGUUUUAUAAUAUUAAUGUUACAUUUUUCUAUUACAUAUCCUUAAUAUUUAUUAUUCUCUUCUUUUAAUUUUAAUUUAUCUUGCCACAUCAUUUAUUAAAGACAAUUUUGUAAAACAACUCAUAAUAUCUUUUUCUCAUGCAAAAUUAAUUGCUACAUGUCAAAUGACCAAAACGUCAUAUAAUUUAGAACGGAGGGAGUAACUAGUAGCGACUAAUAUUUAAAAUUUUAUACUUUUGGGAAUGAAAUUUCAGUCACUAUCUCAGUCACUAAACACAUCGGUGACCAUUUUUAAUAUUUAAUACUUUAGCGAUCGAAUUUUCAGUCACUAAUUCAAUUGCUAAACCUAUUAGUGAUAGAUUUUUAUAUUUUAUAGAUCGAAACAUCAGUCGCUAAAUAAGAAAUUUCAAAUUAAAAAAUUAAAAAAUUCUAAUGUGGCUAUAGUCACACCAUGUCAUAUGGUGGAUCUGUCCAUGUUAAGUACGAGAUAUAAUUUGAUAAUACUUUUUUUUGAGAGAAUAUUAUGAUGUAUAAAAUGUUUGCUAAAGUCGGACAUUUGACAAAAGAGUUGAGGUUAACUAUCAAAUAAGUGAAAAGCUCAUAUAUUUAAGCCUUAAAAUUUUGAACAAUGAAAUCCAUUUGGGGUGGUCAAGUGGUAUUGGUUUGGGACCUGGGAGUGUACUCCUCCUCAAGGUCUCAUGUUCGAUUCUCUCUGGUGUCAAUUUGGAUGGAAUAAUUUAGCUUCUUCUAAAAAAAAUAAAUUUGAACGAUGAUGUGAUAUCAUUCUCACUUGUGUAGUUUCCCUUUCUUUAAUGUGUUAAUUCAAAUCAAUGUUGGGCCGUCCAAAAGGCUUAAUGGUGGUAUCAUAUCUUGAUUCAACAUCAUGGGGGAGCUAGAGUGGUCCUUGGUCGUAAAUCACAGACAUGGAGAGUCUCAUAUCAUGUUAUAUAUAUAUAUAUAUAUAUAUAUAUAUAUAUAUAUAUAUAUAUAUAUAUAUAUAUAUAUAUAUAUAAUAUCUUAAGGUUUUGGUUGAAGAUAUGAUGUCAAUCUCACAUAUGAUGAUUCAACCCAUUGUAUGCUCCCCCAGACCUUUAAACAUUAUGAUGAACUGUUUUGUUAUUUUUAAGAUGUCAUUUGCUUAAUUUUUUUAUUCUAAAUAUAAAUUUUUGGAUGUCGUUCGCUUUCAUUCAAUAUUUUUUUUAUCCAACGUCUAAUAUUUCAAAUACCUUCACUUUUAGUCUUUGGUGCAAUCUGACAUUAGGAAAGUACAUAUGUGUUAUGUUGAGACGACGAAGUGACAUUUUAAAAUGAUGAGUCAUUUUUUUGAAAAAAAUUACUACUCAUAAAUCUCCAACUCCUUCAACUAAACCAUCAAAUACGAGUAAGUCACCCUAUUCCAUAUACUUCCACGAACAAAACACAUAAUACUUUUUUCCUUUACCAUUUCCCUUAUGAUAAAAAUUUAUUUUUCAUACGUUUUCUUUUUCUAAGUGAGAAAAUGGUGGUUGAAAGCUUAAAUCUUUGCUGGUUGAGUUGUUAAAAUUCAACAUCACCUUUGACGUGCGCAAGGUAUUGAAAGCUUAAAUCUUUGCUGGUUUCCAUGCUAAAUUUACUCCGGCUAGAUGCGAACCAUGCACGAGAUGGACCGUUUUCAAAGAUGGAUCCUCCAACUCAAAAGGAAGCAAAUCAGGCCUCAUCCUGGAGAGCGACGAAGGAAUGGUGGUCAAAGCCUCACCGUGGUUUUCCUUCCCUACAACGAACAACGAAGCAGAAUAUGAAGCCUUUAUUGAAGGCCUCACUCUUAAUUAACCUUGUCUUAGGCGCACGAGAGGUAAAAACUAGAAAAAAAAUUAUCAGUUAGUGGUCUCCCAAGUCAAAGGAGAAGCACAAGUGAAGGACCCGUUGCUCCACAAGUAUCUAGUUGUGGUCAAGGAAAAGCUUGCUUUUUUAACUCGUAUGAAGCCUUCCAUGUACCUAUGGAACAUAACACAAGCAGGUGUCCUUUCAAAUCCGACGAGCACGCGCUCGACUAGGAUCAAUCAUUCUUUUAUACAGGAAACUCCGGAGAAACAUGAUUACAAUUUACAACCAGUUGAAGCAGGUUGCUUUUGUCACGGACGAAGCCUUUCAAAGAUCAUGUAUUAAUGAUGUAUAACCUUAAAGAGUGUCAAGUGUACUUUAUUAUAGAGAGAGAGAGAUAUGUUUUGAUGUGAGGAUCAUGCUAUUAGAAAAUCAUUAAGUAAGUAAUUGGAUUUGUAAGUGCUAGGUGUAAUUUUCAUUUCUUGUAAGGUAAAUGUUUAUUAUACAUAUAUAGAUCUCAGAACUACGUAAAAUUUAACUAGGAAAAUACUAACAUAUUCUCUUGGUGUAUUAUUUAGGCAACUAAAAUGAGUAUCUUUUGCAUUGAAAUUUGUAUAAUUAUUAACUUUGCUUUUGUUUGACUUAUAUUUUUAAGAUAAAAUUUCUUAUGAUGAAUUUCUUAAACAAUGCAUUUAGAAAACUUGUUAGCAUAAUUCAUUAAAUUAAAUAUAAGAGUAAGAGUCUUGCUACGUGUGCUUAUUAAUUAGACAUUCUCUAAGAAUCCCAAAUUUAAAAAUAUUUAUUCAAAAAGUUAAAUAUUAAUUUUAAUGCAUUGAAUAUACAAAUUUUUAUAAAAACUUAUUAUUAGAGGUUCUUAAUGAGUGUCAUUGGGACACUCGUUAGUAUUUUCAAAAGAGUAAUGUUGAAAUUCUUAUAGUCAAUUUAAAAAUUAAAGAUGUUGUUAGAUCAUACGAAGGGAAUUCUUGACUUCGAGGUCAUGAUGUCCACAAAUACUAGACAAAACAUGUCUUCAUGUCUUGGGCAGUUACAACUUACACAUCCAAAAUUUAUUAUACCGUUUUCAUUUGGCUAAAAUCGUUGCAUUCACCACAAGAAAAUCAGGGAUUUGCUACGACUCUAGCAGAAGCUAAUUCAUAGCUAAAUCGCAUUUAAUAUUCUUCCUAGCUAUUUUGCAGCUAAUCCAUAGUUAAAAGUUGAUUAAAAUUGUUUUUUAUAAGUUGGAUAUAUCACAGCAAAUCUGUAACUAAAAUUUAAACUAUAUUUUUAGGUUAUUAUCAACCAAUCCAUAACAAACUGAAUAAUAUACAUAAAUUUGUAGCUAAAACUAAACUUUUAAGGUUCUUUCAAAUUGAUUUAAGUAGAUAUGUUUCGUUAAUGUGAGAGAGAAGUUACAAAAGUAAAAACACGAGAUAUAUAGAUCAUACUUUAUAUCCGAUCUAAACAAUACAUUUUAAAAUUUUGUCACUUAUCAUAUAUAGCACAACAUUGAGGCAAUACAAUUUUUUUCACAUGUAUAAAAAGGGAAACAUCGACAAAGUUGCUUACUAUAGCUCCAUCAACAUUUACUAUAGUCUAUCAAGUUGGCUUGUUCCGCCUUGUCUUUUACUCUCGGAAUCACUUCGUAAGCUUCUUGAGGAAGCAAGAUGGCCUUAUUAGCUUUAUAGAAAAUCAAACAAGCAUUUUGUGUGUCUGUGAUCUCAUUAUUUGGUUAUCCAUUUGAUAAUCUUUCGUAUCAACUGGAAAAUGUUUCCACUUCUUGGCUGUGGUAGGCAUCCUCAUGAUCACCCAAGAUAUUAUAUCAAGGUAAUAGUUUGUCGAACAAAUCUCUUGCAAGUGGGAUAUAAUGCAAGCGAGAAAUUCAAAUCUAAAUGAAACAAAACAAAGAGAGGCAGUGAAUUGAUGGUCCAAUGCUAAAAACCAGCAACAAAAAUAAGACUAUACAAAUCAGUAAAUCAUAGAUGAAAAUCAUAAAAAUGUAUAGUCAACUUUGACAAUCAAGUACAACUAAUAAAUAGCGUUAAUGUAUAGAGCACAGCCAGAUGAUGUAUCGAAUUUCUGACCUUUAUUUUCAGCCAAUAAAAAUGGCAAAUCUUCCUUAAACCAGUUGAUCGAAGAACAAUUCAGACUUCUAAAUUCAUUAUCUUCCUAUUCUACAUUUAUUUUAAAAUGUAAAUUUGAAAUGUCUUUAUGUUUCAUCAAGCAAAGUCAUGUGUACCUGAGAACAACUACAAGAAUUUUCAAACAUAUUGUUUAAGGCGCUUCCUUAUAUAUGAAGUUUUUGAUCUUCUGCUACACCAAAUUAAAAGAAUCUUGAUUUAAAUUGAUGAAUACAAGACAUAAUGUAUACAGUAUAGAAGAGCUCCAAAAACAAUAAAAAUAAUGCUAAAAUUUCACUUGAGUAUGAACUUGCAGUAUGAACUUGUUCUCGAUGAUCCAUUCAAAGAGAAAAACUAAUGCGAAAAAUUUCACCAGUAUAACUUCUAUUUAUAGAACAAAGAAAUACAGAAACGUGCAGAAAUAGACCUACGAAACAUAAUAUGAAAAUGAGCAGAAAUGUGCACAAACAAAACUACGAAAAAGAACAAGGCAAGAUGCAAAAAUAAAUGGAGCAAAGCCAAAAUCAAGCUUGACGGGAUCACCAAAACAAUAGCUAUCUAUCUAUGUAUAGUCCAGCCCUAUCAUAUCAGAGAUAGAAAUAUACUAUUACACUGUAUGAAACCAAAACAUCAGCAAGUUGGAGUCAAUCCUAUUUCAUCAAAUUAUACAAUACUUUUGAAGAUUUAUGGUUGUCUCUCAUGUGAUAUCUAACACAUCAAAGUAACAAGACUCAACAUGACUAAUAUCAAAGAAAUCAAAACUGCAUGUGUAGUGUCUUCAUAGAGUAAGAAAAUUUCAACCUUUCGACAAUCCACUUACUGGAAUCAUGUUGAAUCAGCAGAAGUCUGAACUCUGAACAUGUAUAAUUAAAAAGAGAAAAAUACAGUUAGUGAUGGAUUAUUACCUAUGGUGAGUUUCAGCUAUAUCAGUCACAGUAAGAUAAUGGUAAGAUGUAUGAACAAGAGUGAAAGCUUCUUGCAUUUUUAUAUUUACAAUUUACAAACACUCUGCCAUAAAAAAAAAUUGAAUGCAAUAAUGAUAACUAUCAUUUAUCAACCAUGAUCUAUGAAGUUCAUCUGAUUAACAAACACAUCAUACCUACUUAAUAUGCAUAUAUUGGAAAUGCGACUUUUUUUUUUUUAAAAAGCAAAAAUGAUAUAUAUAUUCACACUAGCAGAAGACAUACCAAAGAGGACGCUCAAAAAUAGAGUUGCUGUCAAACAAUUACACAAACAGGUAGUCAGCCGAUACCCAAACAAGUUAACGGGUCCGACCACCAUUGCUGACAACCAAAAACCAAAUCAGCAUUAUUAGCCUUCAACCACCAAUAUGAAUGAAAUUUAACCUUUUCAAUAAGCUCCACAUUAUAUUGGAAAUGCAACUUAUAGAGUAAAUCCAACAUGAAUCAUGUAAUUCUAUCUCAAACGGUAAAGUGAGUUUCCUGAACAAAUUCAGCAACCUAAAUUCAAUUUUGCAAAAACUUAAUUGAGAAAUUGGAAAAAAAAAUUACCAAAAAAGCAUGCAACCUCAUCGAUGAAAUUACAAGAAACACGCCGUAUUUAUAUUAAGCAGAAACUAGAGUAAAGAUGUGGGGUCAAUAUCCCCACCCCAUGACCAAAUUAACUCUUAGAAAUGGAUAAUUGCACUCUUGUUUAUCUUCUGCACAAAGAGAAGGUCUCAAUAAUCAGAUCAAAACUAAGAAAAAUUGAACUUGUGCAGAAACUUAUUUCAUAGAGGCUACACUAAGGGAUGAAAUUAAACUUCACCAUACUCUACUUCAACUCCCUUGAACAUAGUCUAUUAAUUGUGAUUCAAUUAAAACAACAAAUUAUUUUGUGUUGCAAACACAUUAAUCAUUGCCCGAAUUUAAACUUCGCACUAAUCCAAAGGUCUCUAAUCGAGUAAAGUCUCAAGUCGCCAAAACAUCAUCAGAAUUUAUUCAAUAUUCUUUGACUACCGGUAGAAUCAAUCAAGACAAAAAUUUAGCAUGGUUCACUAGCUAGAUCAAAACAAGUUGAUGUGAAAGCUUUAAUACAAUUUAUUUCAAUGGUUAACAAAAGAUUGAUUCCAUCAUUGGAAUUACAAUUAAAGUACAAUCGGAAAAACUACAUGAAAAUCACAGCACAAUUGGAAAAAAUACAUAACGAUUAAAGCCCAUAUUACCAAAAGAGAUAAUAGGAGUAUUACAGUGGGAGUAUUCUUUAUGCAUGAAUACUGAACACGUAACAUUAUUUUAGGGAAAUAAAGUUUUCACACAAUGACUCAAAUAUAUUACUUUUAUUUACUUGCUGGUAGGCCUCACUUGCAAGCUGCUAAAGGAGCACCACAAAGGCAUUUAUUAUGAUCAAACGAACUCUUUGCAAACUUGUUCAACCCAGUAGGUAUCGCACCACACAGUUGGUUAAAGCUGACAUUAAACUGCGAAAGAGACGGUAUGGAGCCGAACGACGCGGGAAUAACACCGGAUAACUGGUUGUUAGACAAAUCAAACUCCUGUAAGCCCUUCAACUGGCCUAGAAAAGUGGGGAUCGGCCCACUAAGACUGUUGGAACCAAGGUCAAGUUUUUGUAGUCUUUUGAGUUUGCUGAAAGAGUUAGGGAUUGGUCCGGUUACUUUGGGCAUUUCAGCCAAUGAGAGGAAGUUAAGAUAUGGGAGGUCGCCAAACUCUGCUGGAAGCGUACCAGAAAGACCCCAGCCACGGCUGAUGGUGACGACGGUGAUUCGGCCAGGUAGGGGUUUGCCACACCCGACGAAGCUCCAGUCGCUACAACAGUCUGUACUGUUGUCCCAAUCGGAGAGGCGGCCGUUGGGGCCGCCGAAAUGGUCUCUGAUUUUGAGGAGAGUGGCUUUGUCAUUGGCAUUGCAGGAGAACUCAACAUCAUCAGCAUUUGAUGUGGAGAAGUAGAUGGAAGAAAGGAAGAGAAGUGUUAAGUGGAGUAGGAGAAACUUGUUUGGAGGAGUCUUCAUCUUAAUUUUGGAGUUUUUUUCUUAUGAAGAGGUGGUUUGAGUUUGGGUUGAGAGAGUACUCAAGUUUGGGUGAUAAGUAUGGUUUUAAUCUUUGCUAUUUAUAGAAUUCGUAGCAGCCAGGAUGUAUAUCUGUUUUAGUGAAAGUUGGUCAAACAGAAAGGCUUAAAAUAAUGAGAUAUGACCCUUUGAAUGCAUCCAACCAUAUAUACAUUGACGUCUAGGGAGGUGUAUGUGGAGUAAAGGGCUGCUACCACAAUAUAUCAUUAAAGAGAAGGGAACAAAAAGAGUUAUGAUACAUAAACACCCUUAGGUGGUAAUACACCUCUUGACAUUCACAUAAAAAUCUGACAUGUGGUCAUAUGGACCCCGCACAAGUACACUUUCUGUUUCUUCUUCUCUUCUCUCUUCCUAAUAUAUGGGGUGUACAAGGAUGUAUGCAAUUAAAAGGUGUCUAUGUAACAUUUUUCGAACAAAAAUAACGAGGGGACAUAAAGCCGCAACCUCCUAGGAAUUGAUAAACCUAUAGUUAGGCACCAAGUCUAUUCUUUACAUAGUAUUCUCUUAUGUAAUACAAGGCAAAAGAGUCUAAAUUGUUAGAAUUUGAAUGUAUUUACCAAUGGAGGCUAACUUAUGGGCACAAAGGUUGCCCUCUCUAUAAAUGUGUGAGACUAUAAAAUUCAUGCCAUUGAGCAUAAAUUUACAAUUAAUUACCAUGACUUAAGUGUACUUUGGGUCUCCUAAGUUUAAAAUGUUACGAUUUUGGUAUAUUAAUAAAAAGAACGACAAAUUUAAUCCCCUAUGAAUUAAUCAUUUUGUAAUAAUCAUCAUUUUUGCUAAUUUUGACUUUUUUUCAACUCUUAUGCGGCAUGCCACAUGUGUAGAUACUGAUUUUUAAAAAAGAAAAAAUGCCAAAUAAUUAAGGGUCUUGCUAACAAGUACCCUUAGGGCAUUUGAUAAGGAUACAAAAAUAAAAAUAAUUGAUAAAUUUUAAUUAUAAAAAGUUACAUUUUAAAAUUUCAAUGAAUUAAAUGCACCAUUUCCAAGACAAAAAUUAUUUUUUAAUCUUCUUAACAACUUAGGGCACUUGUUAGCAUUUUCCUAUAAAUAAUAAUGAAAUAAAAUAAUUGAAAAAUAAUAUAUAUUUUUAAAAACCCAUAAUUUUUUUUAAAUGCUCAUCCUCUUCAAAUCUUCAAUUUCAUCAUCAUCAUUCUUCAUACAUUCAUCGUCGGAAAAUCCAAAAAUAAUAAAAAUAAACUAAAAUCAUCAUUUUCAUACCAACACCUUAGUAUUCUCACUAUCAACCCUUCUUUCUCUGCCUUUUUUCUCACUACCAAAACCAACGAAGAUAGUGGGAUAGGUGAUGCGGUGGUACGAAGGUGGUGGUCACUGGUGGUUUAGGGCGGCAGAUAUGAUGGUUGGUGAACAAAGUGAGAAUCACCACCACAAAGAUUUCUAAACUCGGAAAAACAAAAAACUAAGAAAACAACAAAGAUUUUUCAAAAAUAAAACAACAAAGAACCUUAAACAACACAACACUCAAAAACGAAGGAUGGCUCUUGGAGAUUUUGCACGGAUUACAGGGCUUUGAACACCAUCACUAUCAAAGACAGUUUUCCUAUUCCAAUUGUGGAUGAAAUCUUAGAUGAAUUGCUUGGUGCAUAAUAUUUUUCUAAACUUGAAUUAAGGUCUGGCUACCACCACAUUCUAGUCACACCUGAGGAUAGACACAAGACUUCCUUUCGAACACAUCAAGGCCUUUAUGAGUGGUUGGUCAAACCCUUUGGGUUAUCUAAGGCCCCUGCUUCCUUUCAAAGUUUGAUGAACCACGUUUUUCUGGCACAACUUCGCAAAUCAGUAUUGGUGUUUUUUUUUUACAUUCUCGUCUAUAGUCCCUCUUGGACUGAUCACUUGAGCCAUUUGAAUGAAGUCCUACAACUAAUGCGCACGCACUCUCUGUUUGCUAAAAUGUCUGAGUGUUGUUUUUGUUUUCAAAAGGUAGAUUACUUGCGUCAUACCAUUUCCAAUCAAGGCAUUUAGAUGGACAAGACCAAGGUUCAGGCAAUCCUUGAUUGGCCUACUCCUACAAAUCUAAAACAAUUGUGUGGCUUCUUAGGACUCUCCGGUUACUAUAGAAGAUUUGUGUGCCAUUAUUCUACAAUUACCGCUCCAUUAACUAAACUCUUGAAGAAGGAAGCGUUCGUAUGGAGUUCCUCUACAACUGAAGCCUUACAAGCUCUCAAGCUAGCUAUCACGUCUGCACUGGUACUAGCUCUCUCUGACUUCACAAAGCCUUUCAUUCUAGAGACAGACGCAUCCGAAACAAGCAUUGGUGCCAUACUCAGUCAGGAUAAGCCCCCAAUUGCUUACUUCUCAAAGAAAUUAAACUCCUCUAUGCAAAAGAAAUCUGCCUAUGUGAGAGAAAUUUAUUUAGUACCAGAAGCAAUGGCCAAAUUCAGACAUUAUAUUCUGGGUCACAAAGUUAUUAUACGAACUGAUCAGAAGAGUUUGAAGGCCAUGGAGGAUCAAAUUAAUUUUGUCUCAGGUCAAAAGAGAAGAGCAAAAUCAUCAAUCGUAAAAUCGCAACCAAAAUCGAAUGGUUUUACUCAACUACUUUUGUAUAAUUGAUAUAAGAAAUUGUAAAAUCGCAAUCAAAAUUGAUGGAUUUUACCAACAAAAAAAAAAUACUAAAUAUAUGUUAUAAAUGAUUUAGUUUAUAAGAAAUCGUAAAAUCUCAAUCAAAAUCGAUGGAUUUUUCCUAUUUUGGAAUUCUACUGUGGAUUUGAGUUGUUAAAGGUGAAGAAAGUCGCAAAACCUGGAUUUUAGGAUUUAAGUCAGGAUUUUGACAACAAUGUUUCUGGGAGAUUGAUGACGAUCCAGUGUAGAUUGAGAGGGCGAUUGAGAGCUAUUUGCUACAGAUAAAGAACACAGUAUGGACUAUGGAGCUAUACGUUGCAGAAAGCUUAUAGAAAUGCUCAUUCUUACGAAACACAUACAAACGAAACGCACGAAUAGACAUGGUCCGUUGAUUUACGCAAACACACGGGCAUGAUUUCUCUUAAAAUGGAUUUAAUAAUUUCUUUUUUGUUAAAACAAAAUGCACUCACAUUCUAGUUAUUAUUAUGCAAAUUGGUUUGUAAUAUUUAGCAUCGCUGUUAAUAAACUGUUUUUUUUUUUUUCUUUUUUGAAUAAAAUUACUGAAAGAAUAGUAUCUUCCAAAAUAAACAAAAACUCAAGAACUAAAAAAAUGUUGUAAGAAUGCAAGAAUGGAUUGUGGAAAUUUAGAAAAUUAUUAAUAUGAUAUUAUAUUGCCAAAAAAGAUAAAAGGAGUAGUAUUACAGAGGGAGUAUUCUUUUUGCAGGAAUACCGAACACAUUGCAUUAUUUUAUGGAAAUAAAAUUGUCACAUAAUGACUCAAACAUAUUAAACUGCUAAAGGAGUAUUACAGAAGGAGUAUUCUUCAUAAUACUUUUAUAUAUACUUGCUGGUAGGCCUCACUUGCAAGCUGCUAAAGGAGCACCACAAAGGCAUUUAUUAUGAUCAAACGAACUCUUUGCAAACUUGCUCAAUCCAGUAGGGAUAGCACCACACAGUUGGUUAAAGCUGACAUUAAACUGCGAAAGAGACGGUAUGGAGCCGAACGACGCCGGAAUAACACCGGAUAACUGGUUGUUAGACAAAUCAAACUCCUGUAAGCCCUUCAACUGGCCUAGAAAAGUGGGGAUCGGCCCACUAAGACUGUUGGAACCAAGGUCAAGUUUUUGUAGUCUUUUGAGUUUGCUAAAAGAGUUAGGGAUUGGCCCAGUUACUUUCGGCAUUUCGGCUAAUGAGAGGAAGUUAAGAUAAGGGAGGUCGCCAAACUCUACUGGAAGCGUACCGGAAAGACCCCAGCCACGGCUGAUGGUGACGACGGUGAUUCGGCCAGGUAGGGGUUUACCACACCCGACGAAGCUCCAGUCGCUACAACAGUCUGUACCGUUGUCCCAAUCGGAAAGGCGGCCGUUGGGGCCGCCGAAAUGGUCUCUGAUUUUGAGGAGGGUGGCUUUGUCAUUGGCGUUGCAGGAGAACUCAACAUCAUCAGCAUUUGAUGUGGAGAAGUAGAUGGAAGAAAGGAAGAGGAGUGUCAAGUGGAGUAGGAGAAACAUGUUUGGAGUAGUCUUCAUCUUAAUUUUGAGAGUUUUUUAGUUGAAAAAAAUAUGAAGAGGUGGUUUGAGCUUUGUGUUAAGAGAGUACUCAAGUUUGGGUGAUUAGUAUUAAUUUUAAGCUUUGCUAUUUAUAGAAUUCGUAGUCGCCAGGAUGUAUAUCUGUUUUAGUGAAAGUUGGUCAAACAAGGAGGCUUAAAAUAAUAAGGUUAUGACCCUUGAAAGACAUCGUAAUCAAAGAUGUAUACUUCAACCAUGAAUACAUCCAACCAUAUCAUAAAAUAAGGAGGUUUACCUGGUUGGGGCUUUGCCCCCAUUCAUAAAAAUGAAAUAAAAUAAUGAGGCUUUUAUUGAAAAGUUGAUUGCGGACGUUGUUUCUAAGUUCAUAGACUUUGUAUAAACUAUCUAAUCUAAUUUUAUAUACGAUCUCUCCAUAAUUUUCAUAGUGUUUACAAAAUGUUUAUUUUUAUUUUUUCUGAAGUAUCUUAGUUGAUAGAAUUCAACGUUUUUAAGGUGAAUAAGUUAGAUGUCCGGGAUUCGAACCCCGACCCUACAUAUAAAAAAUGUUUUUCUUUUACUCAAAGAAAAAUGGUAAAUGUAUUUUUAGUUUGAUAAAAUUUUAAAAUUAAUAUUUUGGUAUGCUCCUCCUUUCUAACACCCUUGUUUUUCUCUCUAUGCUCUCUCUUUCAUCUCUUCAUUAAGGGGUAGUUUGGAUCAAUUUUUUUUAGGCUUAAUUACAUUUUUGGUCCUUGCAUUUUGAUCAACUCACGAAAUUGGUCCUACCUCUUUUAAAUCGAACAAAAUCGUCCUUAAACUAUAUGUUUUUUGCAGUUUUAGUCCUAUCUCCCUAUUUUCAACUCCAUAAACGCACAUAAAUGACAGUUUUAGUCCAACCACCUAUGCUCAACCAUGAAAUAAACAAGGAAUAAAUCUUGUGGGUACAAGGAAUCUACUUUGUUUAACACACAAACCAAGAAAAACCCUAAUUUCUAAGACAUGUUUCAGGUAUGUAACAUGUCUCGGAAAUUAGGUUAGUGUGCUGAAUAAAGUAGAUUCCUUGUACCACAUGUUUUAUUCUUUGUUUAUUUCAUGGUUGAGCAUAGGUGGUUGGACUAGAAUUGUUAUUUCUGUGCAUUUAUGGAGUUGAAAAUAGGGAGAUAGGACUAAAAUUGCAAAAAACAUAUAGUUUAAGGACGAUUUUGUUCGAUUUAAAAAAGAUAGGAUCAUUUUCGUGAGUUGGUCAAAAUGGUAGGACCAAAAGUGUAAUUAAGCCUUUUUUUUAUUAUCUGAAAUCACCCCUUGAAAUUUAUUCUUCAUAUUUAAUCUAAUAAAUCAUUUUUACAUAGAUCUAGAUUUUUUUUCUUCUUAAUUUCAUAGUCUAAGUGCGAUAUUGUUUGUCAGUUGUUCGCAAAUUUAUCCUUUACAAUUUUAACUAUGUAAAAUUAAAUACUUUAUCAAUUUUAAUGAAUAAAUGUCAUUUUACUUUUGUCAAAAAAAAAAAAUAGCAGAAUAUUAUGUACUUUAUUUAGGUCUCUAUCUCAAUCCAACUAUCACUACUAGAAAAAGCGAAAUUAGCGAGGGAAAUUAGUGACGGAAAAAAUGAAAUUCCUCACAAAUUCCUUGGUCGCAAAAUUUAGAGACGGAAUUAGAGAGGGAUUUCAUGUUUUACCUCACUAAAUAUCCCUCACUAAUUUUUGAUUUUUUUAGUAGUGUAUGGACUCUCAUAUUUUUAGCAAAUUUUUUAUUUUUGUUAUCUUUUUUUUUUGUUUAUUAUUAAAUUCAAUUGUUACUAAUAAUGGUGAAGGUCAACCAUUGAAAUAUUUUUGAGAGGUUCAUAUUAGACGAACCUAAAUUUUCUUUAAUUAGGUCAACCAUUGAAAUAUUUUUGAGAGAAAAUUAACCCUACUUAUAUUAGUCCUACAGUUUUGUAUUACGACUUAAUAGCAUCAUUUUUUUUUAUUUCAAAUUCUAUAUGAUCGCCCAACAAAUGUGCUCUGCUUCAAAAUCCUUUGUUGUUUAUCACUUCUUGGUCAUCAAGCUUAAGAAAACAUACAAAAACUAAGGGGAAAAUAGGUAAAAUUGGCUUUAACUAGUAAUAAAAUAUAAGGACUUUAUAUUUUCUUAAAUUUCGGAGUUACGCGUAACAAGUUAAUAAAUGUCGUGAAUAAAUAUGUAAAAUAACUAAAGUUUAACACUUAUCAGAAACCAGACAGGUCGGUAUCACUCGAGAUGGAUGAUGGUUGUAACGUGGUCUGGGUUUGGGUCAAACUUGCUGGUGCACCCAAUGAUGGGCUAGUCAAUACAACAGUCCAAGUUAUUGUUUCAAUCAGAGCGUAAAACGACACAUUUGAAGUAAGUUUUGAUUUGUAGGAGGGUGUCUAUCUCUUGGCCAUUGCAAAAUUCAUUUCCUAAGGUCAGGGAGAAGGCUAGGAGAGUGUUAGUAUUUAAGUCCAUGAGGAGAGCUCAAUUCGAAAGAGUUGGUCUAUCUCUUGGCCAUUGCAAAAUUCAUUUCCUAAGGUCAGGGAGAAGGCUAGGAGAGUGUUAGUAUUUAAGUCCAUGAGGAGAGCUCAAUUCGAAAGAGUUGUCUAUUAGGUGAGAAUGUCUCAUUGCUUAAAUACCACAUCAAGCAUUUUUAUCUACUCGAUGUAGGACUCCUAACAUUUUCAGGUCGUUUAAGAGUCAACAUCUACGGCGGCUUUCACUCUAUCGGCAUCUACGCCCUUUAAGUUUCAUUGUUGGAGGUUUGUCUCUUAUUGCGACAAUUGAAGACUUUUGGAUUUCUGUUAUGCUUCAUUGUUGGAAGCAUUGGUUUUGGCCUCUAUUUGAGUGCAUCCACAUGGAUUGGUUUUCUAUGGUUUGAAGACACAUCACAUGGCUAUGCAUCUCCAUUGGAUCUUUUUUUUUUUUUUUGACAUGCCCUGUAGUUUACAGGUUGCUUUUGGUUAUUUUCUCGGCUCAGCAUUGGAGGGCGUCCUUUUCUAUAUCUCUUAGAACCUAGGUCUUGUUGCUUCAUGGUACCUUUGGUGUGAAGUUUGUUCAACAUAUGAUCUCCUUCCAUUGUAGAUUUGGGGCCUUCCUUGCAAUUGUUUUUCUCUUGGAUAUCAUCAUUGAUUUUGGAUAUCAUUGUUUUCUUGUCUUGUGCUUCUGUUCAUGAUGGUUCAGUCAUGUUGACUUAUAAAUAAAAAAGAGAGUUUCUUUUUAACAUAUCAAUUCAACGGUUUUUAUUAAGUUGACUUUGGACGCAAUAAAUAUGAAUGUGUUCUAUUUCAAAUACAGUUUUUAAGUCGUUUUGUUAAUAUUUUAAUCACGUCAAUUAUGCGGUCCAUAUUCAAUAUCUAAAGUAAGAAAUUCAAUAUCUUACAAACUUCAAUAUUCAACAAAAUAAUAAUUUGUGUUGAAAUACUAUUUGACUUAAAUUUUAAAUUAUAGGGUCCAAGUUCACUGUGUAAAUAGGAAGAAAAAAAGAUACUAAAAAUUGAUAUUAAAUUUUUUUCAUAUAGAAACUGAUAUGAUUGUAACUAAAUACUUAUAAAGAUAUGUGACAAUAUUAAUAGAGCAUAUUGUCGAGGUUAGUGUUUAACGUAAGAGAUUAUUUUGACUAACAUAGUGCACAACUAGGAACUUUUUUAGAAUUUGGAUACAUUGAAUGGCUGUUAUGGUUAUUGGUUACAAACUCGGACAAAAAUAUUAAAUAUUAUCCCAAAUAUAAAUAAAAAUUAAUUUAAGUGUAUAAAAAAUUCUAAAACAUUGUAAUCAAAGAAAUAAAACUAUGUCUUUGUAUCAGUUGGUAUGGACAAUGCAUAAAAUAUGCAAGGUCUAGGGUUCAAAGCCCGACCACCAAAAAAAAAAAAAAAAGUAAAAUUAUUAAAUUGAAACACAAUAAAUACGGAUGUGACCAAUUCCAAACAAUGUGUCCAAGUAUUUUGUCAAUAUUUGUGUUAUAGUAUUUUUUUUGAUAGAAAUUCGUGAUAUAAUUUAUUUAUUUUCAAAAAUGUGAUAAAAAAAUAUUAUUUUUCAAAAUAAUUUAACAUUGAAUAUUUAUAAAAGAAAUCAUGGCAAUCAACAAAAAUAAUUUGACAUUUAAAAUUAUAAGGUCCAUAUUCACUAUGUAAAGAGAGAAAAAUAAGAUACUCAAAAUCUUUCAAUUUUUAAAAUUUCAAGAAGAAACUACAAAAAGUAAAAAAUUUAAAACAAAUCCCUAGGUAAAUCCGCAGGAAAAAGGACAAAAACAUUCCAAAAUCUUCCGCGGGAAAAGUCUCAGCAAAAGUUACAGUUGCCUGCGGAUAUUCUUGCGGUUAAAGGAUCCGCAUGAAAUGUCCUCAGUGUACCGGAAACCGCAGGAAAUUCCUCAGCUAUUCCUGUAGAUAUCGAUAGAUCCUAGUAGUGAACAAUCCACAUACUGGAACCAUGAGAAUUUAUGCUAUAUCCGUCAUAGUAAGAUAAUGGCAAGAUGUAUGAACAAGAGUGAAUGUUUCUUGCAUUUUAAUAUUACAAUUUACAAGUACUCUGCCAUAAAAAAAUAAAAUGCAAGAAUGAAAACUAUCAUUUCUCAACUAUGAUCUAUGAAGUUCAUCUGAUUAAGCAACACAUCAUAACUGCUAUUGCAUUAAUAUGCAUAUAUUGGAAAUGUGACUUAUAGAGUAAAUCCAACCGGAAUCAUAUGAUUAUUUCUCAAACGGUAAAGUAAGUUUCCUGAUCAAAUUCAGUAACCUAAAUUCAAUUUGUGCAAACACGUAAUAGAGAAAUUGGAAACAAAAAUUACCAAAAAACAUACAAUCUCAUCAAUGAAAUUACAAGAAACUAGAGUGAAUAUGUGAAGUCAAUAUCCCCAUGAACAAAGAUCAUGUACUCACUAACCAAAUUAACACUUAGAAGCUGAUAACUACAUUCUAGUUUAUAUUUUGCACAGAGAUAGUCUCAAUAACCACAUCCAAAAGAAAAAAAUCUGAACUUGCGCAGAAAGUUAAUGCAUAGAGGUUAAUUAAACUUCACUGUACUCUACUCUAACUCCCCUGAACAUAGUCUAUUAAGUAUUUAACUGUGACUCAAUUAAGACAACAAAUUAUUUUACGUUGCAAACACAAUAAUCAUUGAGUGAUUUGGGCCCUUCCUUGCAAUAGUUUUUCUUUUGGAUAUCAUUGUUUUCUUGUAUUAUGCUUUUGUUCAUGAUGGUUCAGUCAUAUUGAUAAGCUUCUAUCAUGAACGGUUAAGAGUUAUUGUGCUUCUAUCUUGAGUGAUUGAAAACUCUUGAUGGUUAAGUGUUGUGCCUUCAAUGGCUUUGUGGAUGUUGGCUUCUAUCGGAUGGCAGUUAAGCGUUGUUUUGUUGCUUCUUCCUCCAAGUGGUUAAACCUUGAGUUGUGGUUUCCUCUUGUUGAAUAAGCAUUUGGUUGUUUCUAUGCUCUUGGUCGAUGUAUUUCCGGCAUCUUUCUUUGUAUUUUCAUUUGCUUGAUGUAUUUCCUUGUAUUUUCUCAUCCCAAGUUGGAAGUGGUUUGAACACCUUCCAACUUGCGGGGGACUAUUAGAGAUAUAGGUUAGAUACUAGUUAGUAUUAGUCAUGUAGUAGUAUAUAUAAUUGUAAUCACCUCAUUAGAAGAUAUCUCUUAUCAUUUGUAAUAUUCACUUUUAUCAUCAAUAGAAAGAUUCUCUUAGUUUUCUCUCAUUCCUUCAUUGGAUAUCAUGUUUCCUAACAGCUAACAAGUAUCAAUGUUUCCUUCAAAAAAAAGAAAAAAAAAAGCACCAACGUUAAAAAUAAAAAUUCACUAAAAUAAAAUUGAUAUAAAAUGUAAAUUACACAAUGGUCAUUCACUAAAAGAGUGUUUAUUAAAGACACAAAGGAGUUUUUAGUAAAAAAAAACAAGUGGGAGUAGACUUGCUAACUUACUAACCUCAUAUUUUUAGGUGGGAGUAAUUCUUUUUCUAUCCAACAGACCAACCCGCCCCCAAUAUACGGAGGUGAAAAUUGGAAAGUUGAUUGUGACUUAUAAAUAAAAAAGAGAGUUUCUUUUUAACAUAUCAAUUCAACGGUUUUUAUUAAGUUGACUUUGGACGCAAUAAAUAUGAAUGUGUUCUAUUUUAAAUACGGUUUUUAAGUUGUUUUGUCAAUAUUUUAACCACGUCAAUUAUGCGGUCCAUAUUCAAUAUCUAAAAUAAGAAAUUCAAAAUCUUACAAAUUUCAAUUAAAAAAAAUAUUAUUUUCAAAAUAAUUUAACAUUGAAUUAAUAUAUAUAAAAGAAAUCAUCGCAAUCAACAAAAAUAAUUUGACAUUUAAAAUUAUAAGGUCCAUAUUCACUAUGUAAAGAGAGAAAAAUAAGAUACUCAAAAUCUUUCAAUUUUUAAAAUUUCAAGAAGAAACUACAAAAAGUAAAAAAUUUAAAACAAAUUCGUAGGUAAAUCCGCAGGAAAAAGGACAAAACAUUCCAAAAUCUUCCGCGGGAAAAGCCUCAGGAAAAGUUACAGUUGCCUGCGGAUAUUCUUGCGGUUAAAGGAUCCACAUGAAAUGUCCUCAGUGUACCGGAAACCGCAGGAAAUCCUCAGAUAUUCCUGCAGAUUACAUUUCGCAGAACAAUCCGCAGGUAUAUCCAUAGAUCCUAAUAGUGAACAAUCCACAUACUGGAACCAUGAGAAAUAUACUGCUACUGAUGGCUCAUUAUCUAUGGCGAAUAUGUGACGUCAAUAUCCCCAUGAACAAAGAUCAUGUACUCACUAACCAAAUUAACACUUAGAAGCUGAUAACUACAUUCUUGUUUAUAUUUUGCACAGAGAUAGUCUCAAUAACCACAUCCAAAGGAACAAAAUCUGAACUUGCGCAGAAACUUAAUGCAUAGAGGUUACACUAAGGCCUGAAAUUAAACUUCACUAUACUCUACUCCAACUCCCCUUAACAUAGUCUAUUAAGUAUUAACUGUGACUCAAUUAAGACAACUAAUUAUUUUACGUUGCAAACACAAUAAUCAUUGCUAGGGCUGGUCUAACAGAUUAGGAGGUCUAAAGCAAAAUCUUUAAUGUGGUCUUUAAAAAUUAUUUUUUUAACAAAAUAUUUAUAUAAAAUCAAUUUUGUGGAAACCAAAAUUUGAAUUCAUGACCAAGAGUAAUUGAGGUCUUUUUCGUAAUCAGUUAAGCUAUGCAAAUGUCUGUAAUUUAUCUGUCAUAUAAUAUAUUUAUAACCAAAUUGAUUUUUUAGAGGCUUUUUUUUCACCCAAAAUUUUGAGGCUUAAAGCCCUUGCUUUGAUUGCUUGGCCCUUAGGUCGGCCCUAUUUGCCCAAAUUUAAACUUCGCACUAGUCCAAAGGUCUCUAAUCGAGCAAAGUCUCAAGUCGCAAAAACAUCAUCAGAAUUUAUUCAUUGAAAAAACUACAUGAUAAUUAAAGCUCGUAUUACCAAAAGAGAUAAUAGGAGUAUUACAGUGGGAGUAUUCUAUAUGCAUGAAUACUGAACACAGAACAUUAUUUUAGGGAAAUAAAAUUGUCACACAAUGACUCAAAUAUAUUAUUUUAUAUACUUGCUGGUAGGCCUCACUAGCAAGCUGCUAAAGGAGCACCACAAAGGCAUUUAUUAUGAUCAAACGAACUCUUUGCAAAUUUGCUCAAUCCAGUAGGGAUAGCACCACACAGUUGGUUAAAGCUGACGUUAAACUGGGAAAGAGACGGUAGGGAGCCGAACGACGCCGGAAUAACACCGGUUAACUUAUUGUUAGACAAAUCAAACUCCUGUAAGCCCUUCAACUGGCCUAGGAAAGUGGGGAUCGACCCACUAAGACUGUUGGAACCAAGGUCGAGUUUUUGUAGUCUUUGGAGUUUGCUGAAAGAGUUAGGAAUUGGCCCAGUUACUUUGGGCAUUUCGGCCAAUGAGAGGAAGUUAAGAUAUGGAAGGUCGCCAAACUCCGCUGGUAGCGUACCGGAAAGACCCCAGCCACGGCUGAUGGUGACGACGGUGAUUCGGCCAGGUAGGGGUUUACCACACCCGACGAAGCUCCAGUCGCUACAACAGUCUGUACCGUUGUCCCAAUCGGAAAGGCGGCCGUUGGGGCCGCCGAAAUGGUCUCUGAUUUUGAGGAGGGUGGCUUUGUCAUUGGCGUUGCAGGAGAACUCAAC